UACGUAGGGGGCAAGCGUUGUCCGGAUUUAUUGGGCGUAAAGAGCGUGUAGGCGGCCAAACAGGUUCACUGUGAAAACUCGAGGCUCAACCUCGAGAGGUCCGGUGGAAACCGUGUGGCUAGAGUCCGGAAGAGGAGAGUGGAAUUCCCGGUGUAGCGGUGAAAUGCGCAGAUAUCGGGAAGAACACCCGUGGCGAAGGCGGCUCUCUGGGACGGUACUGACGCUGAGACGCGAAAGCGUGGGGAGCGAACAGG
rnacentral:rRNA from 1 species